CACAGACACAGGAAGUCCUCGUCGAAGAAUGCUAACGGCUGAUUCUAUCAUCGUGGGAAGGGGAACAAAGGAAAUGAGAAGGACUGACUGAAAGUACAUCCACACCACGGGCCAUUAAAAAUCAGGAACCAUGAAAAUGACUGAAUCAAAUGACUCAGAGGAUUCCAUGAGGUGCCAGUGGGCCAUGAACCAGACGUCCUGAACGAGGGGCUGCUGGGAAAUAAGGGCAGAGCUGAGAGGCCAAGGGAUGCAAAAUAACA